AAGCUCAAACCAUUGUGAACGUUACCUUUACCGUUGCUUCGGCGGGCGGCCCGGGUCCUCGGACCCGGCGCCCCUGGGCCCCUCGGGGCGCCCGCCGGAGGUAAACCAAACUCUUGAAUUGUAUGGCCUCUCUGAGUCUUCUGUACUGAAUAAGUCAAAACUUUCAACAACGGAUCUCUUGGUUCUGGCAUCGAUGAAGAACGCAGCGAAAUGCGAUAAGUAAUGUGAAUUGCAGAAUUCAGUGAAUCAUCGAAUCUUUGAACGCACAUUGCGCCCGCCAGUAUUCUGGCGGGCAUGCCUGUUCGAGCGUCAUUUCAACCAUCAAGCCCCGGGCUUGUGUUGGGGACCUGCGGCUGCCGCAGGCCCUGAAAACCAGUGGCGGGCUCGCUAGUCACUCCGAGCGUAGUAGUUUAC
rnacentral:misc_RNA from 1 species